rnacentral:rRNA from 1 species
UAGGGAAUCUUCCACAAUGGACGCAAGUCUGAUGGAGCAACGCCGCGUGAGUGAAGAAGGUUUUCGGACCGUAAAGCUCUGUUGUUGGUGAAGAAGGAUAGAGGUAGUAACUGGCCUUUAUUUGACGGUAAUCAACCAGAAAGUCACGGCUAACUACGUGCCAGCAGCCGCGGUAAAUCGUAGGUGGCAAGCGUUGUCCGGAUUUAUUGGGCGUAAAGCGAGCGCAGGCGGAAGAAUAAGUCUGAUGUGAAAGCCCUCGGCUUAACCGAGGAAUUGCAUCGGAAACUGUUUUCUUGAGUGCAGAAGAGGAGAGUAGAACUCCAUGUGUAGCGGUGGAAUGCGUAGAUAUAUGGAAGAAUACCAGUGGCGAAGGCGGCUCUCUGGUCUGCAACUGACGCUGAGGCUCGAAAGCAUGGGUAGCGAACAGGAUUAGAUACCCUGGUAGUCCAUGCCGUAAACGAUGAGUGCUAAGUGUUGGGAGGCUUCCGCCUCUCAGUGCUGCAGCUAACGCAUUAAGCACUCCGCCUGGGGGAGUACGACCGCAAGGUUGAA